rnacentral:rRNA from 1 species
UAGGGAAUCUUCGGCAAUGGACGGAAGUCUGACCGAGCAACGCCGCGUGAGUGAAGAAGGUUUUCGGAUCGUAAAGCUCUGUUGUAAGAGAAGAACGAGUGUGAGAGUGGAAAGUUCACACUGUGACGGUAUCUUACCAGAAAGGGACGGCUAACUACGUGCCAGCAGCCGCGGUAAUACGUAGGUCCCGAGCGUUGUCCGGAUCUAUUGGGCGUAAAGCGAGCGCAGGCGGUUAGAUAAGUCUGAAGUUAAAGGCUGUGGCUUAACCAUAGUACGCUUUGGAAACUGUUUAACUUGAGUGCAAGAGGGGAGAGUGGAAUUCCAUGUGUAGCGGUGAAAUGCGUAGAUAUAUGGAGGAACACCGGUGGCGAAAGCGGCUCUCUGGCUUGUAACUGACGCUGAGGCUCGAAAGCGUGGGGAGCAAACAGGAUUAGAUACCCUGGUAGUCCACGCCGUAAACGAUGAGUGCUAGGUGUUAGACCCUUUCCGGGGUUUAGUGCCGCAGCUAACGCAUUAAGCACUCCGCCUGGGGAGUACGACCGCAAGGUUG